UACAGCCACAUCACGUUGAAACUCCGGAUCCCGUAAGAUAAACGAAGUUAAGUAUCGUCAUUCCUGGUCAGUACCUAAAUGUGUGGCUGCUUGGGAGUACCAGGUGUUGUAAG